rnacentral:rRNA from 1 species
UGAGGAACAUGACCUUCGGCGGGGGAUAGCCGGCCCAACGGCCGGGUAAUACCGCGUACGACCACAUGGGGACAUCCCUGAGUGGUGAAAGCAGCAAUGCGCCGAUGGAGUGCCCCGCGGCCUAUCAGCUAGUUGGUGAGGUAACGGCUCACCAAGGCGACGACGGGUAGCUGGUCUGAGAGGACGACCAGCCACACUGGGACUGAGACACGGCCCAGACUCCUACGGGAGCAG